AGUGAACGCUGGCGGUAUGCCUAACACAUGCAAGUCGAACGGCCGCACAGUAAGAGCUUUCCCUUACUGGUGGCGAGUGGCGGACGGGUGAGGAAUACAUCGGAAUCUACUUUUUCUUGGGUGAUAACGUAGGGAAACUUACGCUAAUACCGCAUACGACCUACGGGUUAAAUCAGAGGAUCUUCGGACCUUUCCCGAUUCUAAGAGCCGAUUUCGGAUUAGCUAGUUGGCGGGGUAAAGGCACACCAAGGCGACGCUCCGUAGCUGGCAUGAGCGGAUGGUCAGGCACACUGGAACUGAAGACCGGGCCAAACUCCGACGGGGAGAAAGCGGGGGGAAGUUUUGGCAAAUGGCGGAAGCCUUAAUGAGGCAAUCCGGGUGGGUUAAGAAGGGCUUCGGGUUUUAAAACCCUUUUUGUAGGGAAGAAAAUGUGGGAGAUUAAUUCUCCCCGUUCUGACGGUACCCAAAGAAUAAGCAACGGCUAACUUCGUG
rnacentral:rRNA from 1 species